rnacentral:rRNA from 1 species
ACGCUCGACACCUACGGGAGCAGCAGUGGGGAAUAUUGCACAAUGGGGGAAACCCUGAUGCAGCAACGCCGCGUGAAGGAAGACGGUUUUCGGAUUGUAAACUUCUGUUCUUAGUGAAGAUAGUGACGGUAGCUAAGGAGCAAGCCACGGCUAACUACGUGCCAGUAGCCGCCGGUAAGUACUUGAGGCGGGCCGUGGCGAAGGACG